UACGUAGGGUGCGAGCGUUAAUCGGAAUUACUGGGCGUAAAGCGCGCGCAGGCGGUUUGCUAAGACCGAUGUGAAAUCCCCGGGCUUAACCUGGGAACUGCAUUGGUGACUGGCAGGCUAGAGUAUGGCAGAGGGGGGUAGAAUUCCACGUGUAGCAGUGAAAUGCGUAGAGAUGUGGAGGAAUACCGAUGGCGAAGGCAGCCCCCUGGGCCAAUACUGACGCUCAUGCACGAAAGCUGGGGGAGCGAACAGG
rnacentral:rRNA from 1 species